UGAUGUCAUAAGAAGGCUUCCAUCACAUGCCAGCAUCUUCAGUAGACUUCUUGCCUCCAGAGCUACAAGGAAGAAAUCUCUAUUCUUAUAAAUCACAGCAGCACAAAAUGGACUAAGACGGGGUGGUGAAGAAAUCCCAGGGAAUCAGCCUGCACUUCGUAGAUGACUGACAGGUGCAUCUUCAUUUCAUUACCAGCUUGCAGUUUGGUAACUCUGUGGGGGAAAUAUAUUUAAAAAACAGUUGAACAUUCGCAUUUGAGCCAGAUCAAGGAGAAUGGAAAGUUCAACUCCGUUCAUCCAUGUCAGCCCCACAGACAAAACAUCCAGCCUUUCAGCUGCAAGCUUCCGUGAAAAGAACUUCUAUCCAGGGUCCCAGGAUGCAGAAAUCCACGCACAGGGAAGACAGAAGCUCAUUUAGCCAAAGGAAGAGUUUCAGACUUCUCCAAAAUGGCAAUUUACACAGAAACUCAGAACACAGUGCUACUUAUUAUUUUGAUAGCAAUGCUACUAUAGUAGUAUUAAAUAUAGUAGUGUUAAAAUAAUGAGGAGGGCUAUUGUUCCAAGACUGUAAAGCAUUGUUUCUCCAAAUGACGCCUGUGCGCCACCUGCAUCAGAAUUGGCUGGGUGGAGUGCCUUGCCAAUUAUCCAGAAGAGUGGGAGAGCUCAGGGCCCUGUGCCCUGGAGUUGUCUGCAUGCCUAUCCUGGCUAGGGAGUGAGAGAGGCUGCCUGCGACUUUUAGCCUAGCAAGGAAGAAGCAAUAGUGGGGAGCAGAGGCACCGGCUCUCACCCUUUUAGAGGCAAGACUCCUGAACUUAUGUGAAGUGAGUCCAGGUGUACCCACCUCACCUAGUUUAAGGUUUGGGACUCUUGUGUCCAGCACAUUGCACCAAACCCCAGCAAGAGGACGUGAGCUGUGGCUUUCUGAGUGACUGGAAACAAAAUGCCCACCAUCUGGAGCUUGGACCUGGGUGGGGAAGCCAAGGAAAGAUCGGAGACACUGCCUGAUUCUACCAGGCAGGGUUGGAAAGAACUAUGCAUUCUCUCAGCUCCACCAACGUGGCUCCCUGGGACCCUGGAAGCAAAGCGGGCUAUGGCAGAGCGAAUGACCUCUAGCAGGAUGAACUCCAAGGACUGCUUCCUAAUAGAGAGGAAAUUUCAAGAGAGGCAGUGGUCACAAUGGCUAGAAGGCAGGCACGCUCAAUGAGAGGCUGCCCUGAGCCUAACACAUUCUUCUCCACCGGCGAAGGUGUGGUACUGUUAGCUCCUCCUGGUAGAGCCACGUCCUGCUCCAUUGCCCAUUACCAUAUGAAAUACUUGAAGCUGUCUACUUUAUAAAGAAAAGAGGUUUCAUGGUUUUGGAGGUCUCAUUUGGUGAUGGCUUUCUACCAGCAAAGUCCUGAAUUGGUGCAAAGCAUCUCAUGGUGAGACAGGGAGCACCUGUACGUAUCUAUAUCCAUGUUUCUCACUCCCUCUGCUUAUAAAGCCACCAGGGUUCAAUCAUGGGAGCCCCAUGCUAGCCAUCUUCUCUAACCCUAAUCACCUCAGAUAGCUGUAAUCUAAAUAUCAGUGAUAUUUGCCCUCACACUGGGGACUAAAUUUCAAUACAUGAAGCCAUGGUGUUGGUGUUGGUGGUGGUACAGGCACACUCAAGCCGUAUCUAAACCAUAGCACGUAGACUCUGGGAAGACCACAGUGGAGGACAGAACCAGGCACCUGACAUCAGGACAAGAUCUCCAAAGGCUGUAGGCACCAGUGCCAGCAGCAGCAAAUAGAUGAGGUUGACUCUUUCUCAUGCUGGAGCAGGAGCAAGUCUCUUUUCUCUAAACCCCGUAUCAAGGACCAAAAUCCCACCCCAGUGGCUACAGCCAAGUGAGGGUUCUGAGGUGAGCUGCUCUAAAGAUACGGAACCACUGAGGAGAACCUGAGUCAAAAACCUCACAGGGGGCCUUGUCGCGUCUCAGGCAGCCAAGUCUUCAUAGGGCAGACGUGGAUGCUAAGCAGACAGUGAAGGCUCAGAAGGCACUAGUCAAGCCUGGAGGGAAAUAAUCCAAGGAGACUGAAGGAGAAGACUGAGCCCUAACAGGCCAGCACACCUGCAGCUGAUAGCAGGUGAGGGCCCAGAGCCAGGGCUGCAAGUACAGGGCUGGGAGAUCACGCUACAGGGAGCCCCCUGGGGCUGGUACCCUGGGGUACCAGGGGCUUGCUUCCGGAGAGAGACACUCAGGGCUGAGUUUUUCCCAGGCCUAUCCCACCCAAGAAGUGAAUGGAAGCCUCUCUGGUUCUCUCUAAAAGGAUUCAGGGAA